rnacentral:rRNA from 1 species
CGGAGGAUCCAAGCGUUAUCCGGAAUCAUUGGGUUUAAAGGGUCCGUAGGCGGGUUUAUAAGUCAGUGGUGAAAGCCCAUCGCUCAACGAUGGAACGCCAUUGAUACUGUAGAUCUUGAAUUAUUAGGAAGUAACUAGAAUAUGUAGUGUAGCGGUGAAAUGCUUAGAGAUUACAUGGAAUACCAAUUGCGAAGGCAGGUUACUACUAAUGGAUUGACGCUGAUGGACGAAAGCGUGGGUAGCGAACAGGAUUAGAUACCCUGGUAGUCCACGCCGUAAACGAUGGAUACUAGCUGUUCGGAGCAAUCUGAGUGGCUAAGCGAAAGUGAUAAGUAUCCCACCUGGGGAGUACGUUCGCAAGAAUG